CCGGCACGGGUGAGUAACACGUGUCCAACCUGCCGUCUACUCUUGGACAGCCUUCUGAAAGGAAGAUUAAUACAAGAUGGCAUCAUGAGUCCGCAUGUUCACAUGAUUAAAGGUAUUCCGGUAGACGAUGGGGAUGCGUUCCAUUAGAUAGUAGGCGGGGUAACGGCCCACCUAGUCUUCGAUGGAUAGGGGUUCUGAGAGGAAGGUCCCCCACAUUGGAACUGAGACACGGUCCAA
rnacentral:rRNA from 1 species